GAUGAACGCUGGCGGCGUGCCUAAUACAUGCAAGUCGAGCGAACAGACGAGGAGCUUGCUCCUCUGACGUUAGCGGCGGACGGGUGAGUAACACGUGGAUAACCUACCUAUAAGACUGGGAUAACUUCGGGAAACCGGAGCUAAUACCGGAUAAUAUAUUGAACCGCAUGGUUCAAAAGUGAAAGACGGUUUUGCUGUCACUUAUAGAUGGAUCCGCGCCGCAUUAGCUAGUUGGUAAGGUAACGGCUUACCAAGGCAACGAUGCGUAGCCGACCUGAGAGGGUGAUCGGCCACACUGGAACUGAGACACGGUCCAGACUCCUACGGGAGGCAGCAGUAGGGAAUCUUCCGCAAUGGGCGAAAGCUUGACGGAGCAACGCCGCGUGAGUGAUGAAGGUCUUCGGAUCGUAAAACUCUGUUAUUAGGGAAGAACAAAUGUGUAAGUAACUAUGCACGUCUCGACGGUACCUAAUCAGAAAGCCACGGCUAACUACGUG
rnacentral:rRNA from 1 species